rnacentral:lncRNA from 1 species
UCGGUGCAUUACGUUUGCGCGCAUUACCAUUACAUUUGCGCGCAAAAAUCAUUACGUUUGCGCGCAGCUUUUGAUUACAAUUGCGCGCAUUUUUUUUUUUGACAGGUAAACUCAAGUAAAAUACAGGUAUUAAUACUUAUUUAUUUAUAACUUGUUCAAUUAUUUACAAGAAUAAGUACUCAUUCCGUUAGUCUUAGUCCCCUGCUCAC